GGCUGGCCCAAAGGUAGAGUUACUUCAGUUGAUUCUUCACAGUCAGUUACAGAUCGAACUCCUUGUUUUACUCUUUCCACGCUUCACAUUACUGCACUUGACUAGUCUAAA
rnacentral:Y_RNA from 1 species